rnacentral:rRNA from 1 species
GGGAGGCAGCAGUGGGGAAUAUUGCACAAUGGGCGAAAGCCUGAUGCAGCAACGCCGCGUGAGGGAUGACGGCCUUCGGGUUGUAAACCUCUUUUAGUAGGGAAGAAGCGAAAGUGACGGUACCUGCAGAAAAAGCACCGGCUAACUACGUGCCAGCAGCCGCGGUAAUACGUAGGGUGCAAGCGUUGUCCGGAAUUAUUGGGCGUAAAGAGCUCGUAGGCGGUUUGUCGCGUCUGCUGUGAAAUCUGGGGGCUCAACCCCCAGCCUGCAGUGGGUACGGGCAGACUAGAGUGCGGUAGGGGAGAUUGGAAUUCCUGGUGUAGCGGUGGAAUGCGCAGAUAUCAGGAGGAACACCGAUGGCGAAGGCAGAUCUCUGGGCCGUAACUGACGCUGAGGAGCGAAAGCAUGGGGAGCGAACAGGAUUAGAUACCCUGGUAGUCCAUGCCGUAAACGUUGGGAACUAGAUGUGGGGGCCAUUCCACGGUCUCCGUGUCGCAGCUAACGCAUUAAGUUCCCCGCCUGGGGAGUACGGCCGCAAGGCUAAAACUCAAAGGAAUUGACGGGGGCCCGCACAAGCGGCGGAGCAUGCGGAUUAAUUCGAUGCAACGCGAAGAACCUUACCAAGGCUUGACAUAUACCGGAAACGUCCAGAGAUGGUCGCCCCGCAAGGUCGGUAUACAGGUGGUGCA